rnacentral:rRNA from 1 species
UACAGAGGGGGCAAGCGUUGUUCGGAAUUACUGGGCGUAAAGGGCGCGUAGGCGGCCUUCUAAGUCGAACGUGAAAUCCCUGGGCUCAACCCAGGAACUGCGUCCGAGACUGAAAGGCUCGAAUCCGGGAGAGGGAUGUGGAAUUCCAGGUGUAGCGGUGAAAUGCGUAGAUAUCUGGAGGAACACCGAUGGCGAAGGCAGGUCUCUGGGCCACUACUGACGCUGAGAAGCGAAAGCAUGGGGAGCGAACAGG